UACGUAGGGUGCGAGCGUUGCCCGGAUUUAUUGGGCGUAAAGGGCGCGCAGGCGGCUACGCACGUCCGUUGUGAAAAUCGCUCGGCUCAACUGGGCGGGGGUCAGCGGAUACGGCGUGGCUGGAGCAAGCUAGGGGGCAAUGGAAUUCCCGGUGUAGUGGUGAAAUGCGCAGAUAUCAGGAGGAACACCGAUGGCGAAGGCAGGGUCUCUGGGCUGACACUGACGCUCAUGCACGAAAGCGUGGGGAGCAAACAGG
rnacentral:rRNA from 1 species